UACUUUCAGCACAGGAGGUCGUAUCCUUGACCAAUUUCAUAGUUCUUUUACUCCAAAACUUGUUGAAAGUUUAAUUUGUACACAAGAUUGGUUGCGUGCUUCGCCAUUGCCACUUCAGAUGAAAGAAAACUUUGCAGAUUUGGAGGACAUAGAAAGAGCUCUAACCAAUGUUAACAUAGCUGCUGGAAAGUGAUUUGGUCUGCUGGAAAUCACCUAUUACUGCUGCUGUUGUGCUGCUGCUACCACUGCCCUGUUGUGGUGCUUUGGUUUGUCAUCCUUAAGUUGUGCUGCUGUCAACAUGCCUUUGUUUGUUUAUUUGUUUUUGUCUAAAACUACUUUAUAUCUGUUUACUUAGAAUUUGUGGAAAAGGGAAAUGUAAUUUCUACUACUAUUGAAUUUGGUUGUUGUUAAUGUGUGUUUGCUUGGAAUGGAUGAUGUAAUGUCUACUACUAUUGUUGAUGUAAUGUCUACUACUAUUGUUGAUGUGUGUUUGCUUGGAAUGGAUGAUGUUUGCUUAGAA